rnacentral:rRNA from 1 species
AUUGAACGCUGGCGGCAGGCCUAACACAUGCAAGUCGAACGAGUGGCGGACGGGUGAGUAAUGUCUGGGAACCUGCCCGAUGGUGGGGGAUAACUACUGGUAACGGUAGCUAAUAACGCAUACCAUCGGAUGUGCCCAGAUGGGAUUAGCUAGUAGGUGGGGUAAUGGCUCACCUAGGAGACGAUCCCUAGCUGGUCUGAGAGGAUGACCAGCCACACUGGAACGGAGACACGGUCCAGACUCCUACGGGAGGCAGCAGGGGGGAAUAUGGCACAAUGGGCGCAAGCCUGAUGCAGCCAUGCCGCGUGUAUGAAGAAGGCCUUCGGGGUGGAAAGUACUUGCAGCGAGGAGGCGUUACUCGCAGAAGAAGCACCGGCUAACUCCGUGCCAGCAGCCGCGGUAAUUC